rnacentral:rRNA from 1 species
GACGAACGCUGGCGGCGUGCCUAAUACAUGCAAGUAGAACGCAGUUGCGAACGGGUGAGUAACGCGUAGGUAACUGCCUCAUAGCGUGGGAUAACUAUUGGAAACGUGAGCUAAUACCGCAUCCUGUGAGAUGGACCUGCGUUGUAUGAGCUAGUUGGUUAGGUAAAGGCUCGCCAAGGCGACGAUACAUAGCCGACCUGAGAGGGUGAACGGCCAAAUUGGGACUGAGACACGGCCCAGACUCCGUCGGGAGGUAGCAGUAGGGAAUCUUCGGCAAUGGACGGAAGUCUGACCGAGCAACGCCGCGUGAGUGAAGAAGGUUUUCGGAACGGAAAGCUCUGUUGUUAGAGAAGCGGUAACUAAUCAGAAAGGGACGGCUAACUACGUGCCAGCCGCCGCGGUAAUAC